ACGGCAACUGUGCAGAGAGGCUUGCAGGUCCAAACCACUGGUAGCAGCCCCUGGUAUAUCCAGGACAUCAGCACAUAGAACCAGUGAAAGGGUCCUCCCUCAUAGUGACGCAUGUCAUAGACUCAGAUUUAUACAAACAAAUGCUGAGCAAACCAUGAAGAGUCUCUGGUAUUUUCAACAAUAUCAUCACAGAGGAACUGUAUUGAUUUCCUUCCUUCAGUGGUCCAAGAACCUGCUGCUCCCGGGUCCUCUCAUUUGAAGACACCCACCGCCUAAGGAUGAAGAGAAGCUCCUUCUUGCAGAUCUGAGGCUGAUUUCCCAACUCCCAGGAACACCCUACCCACAGCCUGUUCCCCAGACCCAGGAACUUUUCAAAUGUAGAGGAGCCUUUAGAAGGAAGCCUUGAGCAUGAGGACAGACCCCCCUCAUCCAACCACCACCUGACUCUGUGUGAACCUGGAACUGUUAGAAUGUCUGUGCUGUGAUAAAAGGUCAUCUCCCUACAAUGUUAUGAUACAGACCUCAAACCUACAAACAUGAGGAACUUCUGCCUCCAGGUUAACUGCUUACCCACUGUACAAGACACGUUACACACAGUCCAGGAGGCGGAGCUUCUGAGAUAUCUAGAAACAGCUUAGAGGCAAAAUGACAAAAUAAAGCAGCAACAACAAAUAAAACCAAUCUUCUCGAACUGGC
rnacentral:lncRNA from 1 species